UACGUAGGGGGCUAGCGUUGUCCGGAAUCAUUGGGCGUAAAGAGCGCGUAGGCGGCCAGAUAAGUCCGGUGUGAAAGUCAAAGGCUCAACCUUUGAAUGCCGCUGGAAACUGUCUGGCUAGAGUCCGGGAGGGGCGAGUGGAAUUCCUGGUGUAGCGGUGAAAUGCGCAGAUAUCAGGAGGAACACCAAUGGCGAAGGCAGCUCGCUGGAACGGUACUGACGCUGAGGCGCGAAAGCCGUGGGGAGCAAACAG
rnacentral:rRNA from 1 species